UACGGAGGGUCCGAGCGUUGUCCGGAAUUAUUGGGUUUAAAGGGUACGUAGGCGGGGUAAUAAGUCAGAGCUGAAAUCCUACAGCUUAACUGUAGAACUGGCUUUGAAACUGUUACUCUUGAGUAUGGUAGAGGCAGGCGGAAUUUAUGAUGUAGCGGUGAAAUGCAUAGAUAUCAUAAAGAACACCGAUAGCGAAGGCAGCUUGCUGGACCAUAACUGACGCUAAUGUACGAAAGUGUGGGUAGCGAACAGG
rnacentral:rRNA from 1 species